UCUUAUCUUCAAACCGCAGAAGACUAUACAGUAAAGUAAGUGAUGAGAGGAUUUUCAAAAGCAAAUAAAGAAAUCAUACCAACGGUGAGUCGUGCAACAGUGACAGAUGAGAUUUGAAGAGUCGUAGAGGGUAGUGACGCCGUAUGAGUUUACCGGCUGAGCUUGAUGGUAGGCUGACAGACGGAGGCAAAAAGUGUAGCCGAUUGUAAGAUGUAUUUCAGUCGGUUAUUCAGCGAGUGGCUGACAACUGAAGAAGACGGUGAAAGUAAAGAGUCGGGACUAAGAACGGAGAGGGAUUAGAGCAUCAUCAACGUAUUUCAGCAAAAGGCUCUCUGGAUGUGAAGCAAAAUGAAGCCAUUGAAGUUGUUGCUAAUAAAUUGGCACGUAGAAAAGGUGUUAUUGAUGAAAAUCUAAAAUUAGAACAUGAGUUGAAGGUAAGUGAUGUGCCUUUUGUAACCUUUGGAUUAACAUUAGCCCAUGAUUAAAUGACCAUUUUACCCUUUCGGUUGUUGAGGAUGAGAGGUAUAUUUUCAUGUCAUCCUUAGUCGGGCUAUUGGCUGAAUAUGGGAUUUUGCCUCGUUUUACAAAUGUUGAAGGUCUUUCAGAUAGCAUAAAGUUGCAGGGGUGCGGAAGAAUUAUAGUUUGAAAGCUUUGAAGACACCAUAAAAGAAGAAAACAAUUAUAGGGAUCAAUAUUUACACUAUUUAUAAGUAUAAUUGAUAGGUUUAUAGGUAUAAUGAUAAAACAAUCGGCCAUUCUUUGCGGAUUUAUAGGGCAGAAUGUAGGUAAAAUUUGAUUUA